GUAAACGUAUAAUUUCGGUCAAUUAAAAAAAAACAACUGUAUCUCGCGAGACUACGAUCUACACUGCGGUUUAAAAAGAGAACGAUCACGGAUAAAUUUGAAACUUUUAACGUUUUUUAAUUAUUUGUAAAUAGGGACUUCGGAAUAAUAUUUUUGUUACAUUUGUUAUGUUUAAAUUUUGCAUUUUAUAACAAAAAUAGUGAUUUAUCUGACAAUAUGAGACGUUACGCAUUUUGCAUAAUUCUUAUAAUAACAAUUUCAUUAGUGACAGGAGAGAAAUCAUCUGAUAUAAAUGAAGCAAAAAGAUUAGACCCUUCUAAAGAAUUGUCUACAAAAACUGCAAGAUAUUUACAAGACUGCCCUCCUUUUUCCCUUACAUGUCUCGGACAAGGAAAAAGACUGUUUUAAAGUUAGAAAAAAAAAUGUAUUUUUUUGUUUUUAUUUGUAUAUAUAUCUCCUUUUUUUCUAAUUUUGUUCAUCUUGUGCAUGAGUCAUUUCUAUUUCAUAUUGUAUUGAAUUUAGUUGCGAGAGUGUAUGAGCUUUGAAAGCUGCAAUAAUAACGUAAUGAUAUAAUUUGGUAUUGUUGUGUAUUAGUAUAGAGAAUAUGCUAGUUUUGUUAGACAAAUAUAUUGUGUACUGUUUUAGCGACGGUAAAAGUAGUGACGUAGUCAAACAGACGAAUGACGUAGUAGACUAGGCGAACAAGAGAGCAACAUGGCGAUAGUAUAGAAGUGUGUUGCUUCGUAUGAUAGUUAGAUAAGUAGCGACGUUUAUGAAGACUAUACGUACUUCCCAGUUCAAAAUAAAUGUGCCAUUUGCAACA
rnacentral:sRNA from 1 species